rnacentral:rRNA from 1 species
AUGUUGAAAAAUUAGCGGAUGACUUGUGGCUGGGGGUGAAAGGCCAAUCAAACCGGGAGAUAGCUGGUUCUCCCCGAAAGCUAUUUAGGUAGCGCCUCGUGAAUUCAUCUUCGGGGGUAGAGCACUGUUUCGGCUAGGGGGUCAUCCCGACUUACCAACCCGAUGCAAACUACGAAUACCGAAGAAUGUUAUCACGGGAGACACACG